rnacentral:rRNA from 1 species
GACGAACGCUGGCGGCGUGCUUAACACAUGCAAGUCGAACGGUGAAGCUCCAGCUUGCUGGAGUGGAUCAGUGGCGAACGGGUGAGUAACACGUGAGCAACCUGCCCCUGACUCUGGAAUAAGCGCUGGAAACGGCGUCUAAUACUGGAUACGAGAAGGGUCCGCAUGGGCACUUUCUGGAAAGUUUUUCGGUUGGGGAUGGGCUCGCGGCCUAUCAGCUUGUUGGUGAGGUAAUGGCUCACCAAGGCGACGACGGGUAGCCGGCCUGAGAGGGCGACCGGCCACACUGGGACUGAGACACGGCCCAGACUCCUACGGGAGGCAGCAGUGGGGAAUAUUGCACAAUGGGCGAAAGCCUGAUGCAGCGACGCCGCGUGAGGGAUGACGGCCUUCGGGUUGUAAACCUCUUUCAGCAGGGGAGAAGCGAAAGUGACGGUACCUGCAGAAGAAGCACCGGCUAACUACGUG